rnacentral:lncRNA from 13 species
CUUCCUGCAGCACUGAGACAGUGAAGAGAAGAGAAGAGAUGAGAGACUGGCAGACAGACAAUGCCUCCUAUUGAACCAGCAAGAGAGAAAAUCAUGUGACUCAUCUGAUUCCAUCACUAGGCUUCUGUGGGGGAAUCCUGAAAAAGGAUACAGCUUAUGGACUCUUUCUUCCAAUGAAGCUCAUCGUGCUAGAAGCUUUAAUAGCCUAGGACUUGCUUCCAGGAUUUUAAGAAUGAGUUCAUCUUAGCAUCAUCCACAUACAUAAGGAAAAUUCACCAAAAUGUCAACUAUGUCAUUAACAAAACACUAAAUUGCAGUGAACCUUUCAUUGACCAGAAGAACACGAAAUAACUCAUGUGCAAAACAAGAUGUAAUUGUUCAUGGUUCUUCAAGGCGAGUAUACAUGAAGAGAAAUUCAAGUAAUGAGUUGAUUUCAAAUCUACAUUUAUUUUGUACCAUCUAUGCAUUAGAAAAAUGUACUUGAUAUUUAAAAGUCUUACAAUAGAAACAUAAGAAACAUCUUUACCUUCAAAUAGUAAUAAAACACUUAUACAAAGAAAACA